UAAGAGCUAGUAGUGGAUUUCUUGGGAAUAGAAGGCGAUGAAGGACGUGCUAAUCUGCGAUAAGCGUCGGGGAGCUGAUAAGAAGCGAUUGAUCCGGCGAUUUCCGAAUGGGGAAACCCAGUACUCAGAGAUGAGUAUUAUCCUUAACUGAAUAAAUAGGUUAUUGAAGCAAUACCUUGUGAAGUGAAACAUCUCAGUAGCAAGAGGAAAAGAAAACGAAGUGAUUCCCCCAGUAGCGGCGAGCGAAACGGGAAGAGGCCAAACCGAAAUUUAUUUCGGGGUUGUAGGACACUAACAUGGACUUAGUAUGCAUAGUAAAAGUUGUUGGGAAGCAACGCCAUAGAAGGUGAUAGCCCUUUAUACGAAAUGCAUAUUAUACCUAGGUGUAUCCUGAGUAGGGCGGGACACGUGGAAUCCUGUCUGAAUCUACCCAGACCAUUGGGUAAGCCUAAAUACUAACUAUUCUCCGAUAGUGGACAAG
rnacentral:rRNA from 1 species